AGCCUUGUAUGGAUAUCCAUAAAGGAUAGAUGCGUAUGUGGCUUUAUCGGAACCUGAAGACAUACUCAAAUCUAGAUUUAGAAGAAGUUUCGCGCUACAGGUAGAUGAUCUGAUCAUCGAUUUUAUUUUUAUUUUGAAAUUAGAUGUAUGCUCAUCUUAUCUUCAUCAUAUAAAUUAGAUCCGUAAGUGUUAGAUUAGAUCUAUAUAUGUAUAG
rnacentral:lncRNA from 1 species